CGGCAAUAGAGGAACAUCAGAAGUAGCAGUUGUGAAAUAUGUAAUCGUAUCGAUGAUAUAUCAAAUUUAAAAAAUGUUUGAAAGGGUUUCCGAAAUCUCCAUUUUCAUGCGGACAUGCCGAGAUCGACUUGGCUAUUGCUCCUGAUUAUGAAUAAACAAAAUAAUUGAGUUUUAUAAAAGGAUUUAAAUUCUAUAAUAACUAAAAUUAAAAGUCAUUUGGAGUAAAUUCUUCUUUAAAUUUCACCAGAACAGAUAGGACUUACCUCAUAAUACUGGUCAAGUUUUAGAUCUUAGGAAAUGUAACGAACCGCUACACUGAUACAAAAUACAACAGGCCAGAUGUUAAAUCGAGAUUUGAGCGCAUAAUUGUCCGGCUUGGCUCGUCGACGACGGGUGUGAUCUUGUGAUCUUGCUCAGAUCUCGGAAUGCCUAUACAUAAUUUCAAUAAAAGAUAGUUGCGUGCGACAAUAAACUAAUAAUAAUAAGCUGCAAAAAGACAAAUACUUUCACUUCGGCUGAACCCUCUCACCUCCUCGGAUGUUAUGGAGGCAUUUUUCUUGCCCA